UACGAAGGGGGCUAGCGUUGCUCGGAAUUACUGGGCGUAAAGCGCACGUAGGCGGAUUGUUAAGUCGGGGGUGAAAUCCUGGAGCUCAACUCCAGAACUGCCUUCGAUACUGGCGAUCUAGAGUCCGGGAGAGGUGAGUGGAACUGCGAGUGUAGAGGUGAAAUUCGUAGAUAUCGGGAGGAACACCGGUGGCGAAGGCGGCGACCUGGGACAAUACUGACGCUGAGGUGCGAAAGCGUGGGGAGCAAACAGG
rnacentral:rRNA from 1 species